rnacentral:rRNA from 1 species
AUGUUGGCUUUCCGGGAUACUUUAGAGGUAUGUGCGCUUGUUGAUCUCAGUUUUUCGGGCUUACCGUUUACUUAUGAUAACAAGCAGCGUGGAAGAAGGAAUGUGCGGUUGAGGCUCGACAGGGCUAUGGCGGACAACAGGUGGCGGGAUAUUUUCUCGGAAGCUCGGGUGGUUCACAAUGUUUUGCCAUGCCCGGACCAUGUGACCCUCGUACUGGAGUGUAUAAAGGAGGAUACUGCUGCUAAUACCUGUUGUAGCCUGCGUCGGUAUGAGGCCUUCUGGGAGCGUGAUGCAUCUUUACCUGAGAAGGUUGCUGAUGUGUGGGAAGAAGCUGGCCAAAAGUUCAGUUUGGGUGAUGUCCAGGAUGGUCUGACGAAACUGAUGGUAGAGCUACAUGCAUGGAGCAAGAAAAAGUUUGGUAACAUCACACAGGAGCUUGAGAAGUCUAGAAGCCAGUUGGAAGAAUUGAUGAAUAUGAUGUUGGGGAACAUAGCAGAAAUUCAAAAUUUUCCUAUGUGUCACCAAGAUCUACCUAUGGAGAAACCAGCAACGAGGGGAAGGAGGGUGCAUCUACAUACCCUUGUAGAUCGCUAA